GAUUUUAAGCAUUUUAUUCCAACAACAAAUAAUAUUAACAAAACAGAGCCUAGUCACCUCUUUUCGAAAAGAUUUGUUUCGUAAAAAGGGACUAUUGUUCCUGCACUAUUUGGUAUUUUCAGUUCACAUGCACCAUAAAUAGCCAUAUCGUCUGGUAAUUUUUCUGACAAUGUUUCCCAAUGUCCAGAAACAGUACAAAAUACGUUAAUGUCUUUGUUUUCUUUUCCCCUACACUCACCUCCUGCAAGAAUAAUCGAUGUGUUCAUUGUAAACAUGCCGAAGUCUUUGCAUUCUUGAAUCUGGUCAGGUAAUGUAAAGCACGAGCCAUCGCUUGGGCAGAAUCUAAUAAAAUGUUUCUUGUCAGAGGCAAUGUAAAUAUAAGAGUCAACAACACAUGUUUUCAUCUGUUUGAACGAGAACGGGAUCUCCGCUACCUGCUUUACUGUUUUUGUACGAGGAUGAAAGACAUAGACAGCGGUUGCUCUGGGUUUUAUAUUUCCUUCUAUGUUCAGAAUAGCAGAAAAGAUGUAAAUCAAGCCAUGAAAAACAACACAUGAUGGAUCUAUCGGAAGAGAAUCUCCAGGGAGGUAUGCAACUUUUUUCCAUGAAUCAUAACUCAUGUUGUAUUCUUCUAUUUCCAAGACUUUGCGACUCUUGUAAACACCCCCGAACACAUAACAAUGAUUUUCAUGCGAUAUCAUGUUGAAAUUUGCUCGUUUGCAGUAUAGGGAUGCUCUUUUUUUACAUUUGUUCAGAAGUGGGUCGUAUUGAUAAACUGAACUUCCAAAGGACCAAUAAACUAUCGGUGGAUUGUCUUCAUCACUUUGAAUACAGCAACAUUGAAACUGUUUGCUGAUUUUAUUUCCCUUUUGAAUGUCUCUAUAGCACCUUUUUCUCAUGUUUGAGUCGUAAACAAUGGUCGUGAUUGUCCGUUUAGAUCCACAGGUACCACAUGUGAAAAGUGAAAAGUAGUUUUUAUAGUUUUUGGUUCUCGAACUGCCCACAGAUCCACGUGUUGCAUUGUCACAUUGAUUGUGGCAAACUUCACCUCCCUUUAUGAAAAAGUUAUUGUUCUGAUUUGUGAAGUUGCUGCAUUCAUUCGGGGUUUUGAUUCUUUCAAUGAUUGCAAAUGCUUUUGAUUGUAAAUAUCUUAAUUCAUACUCUUUAGCAAGCUGAUAAUAUUCAUCACAGUUAACUGCGUUCAAAUUGGCAAUUAACUUAUUUUCACAACAUUUUAGCGUGUUGCGUAAAUUUGAUUUUUUAGCGACAAGAAGAUAAUGAUCCAUAUUUUCAAUGUCCCAGUGUUCAUCAGGCUCAUCCUUACUAAGGGCUUUAACUAGUUGUUUUCUAACUCUAUCAUCUGGUAGAUUCUGAACGUAUUCGGCAAUGUUGAAUUGACAAUCUCCGAUAUUGUUAUUAUUAGUUUCGUCUGAGUAAGGAAACGACUGUUUGCCACUGUCUUUGUGGAUCUCGUUUUCAGAGUAAAUAAUUUGGAAUUUAUUAUCACCCUGGAUCAUAUAUUCCUUUGAAGGCAGAUAAUUAUCAAGUGCAUCUGGAACCAUAACUACAGACAUUUCUUGCCCAAUGCUAGGACCAUCUGACUCCUUCGGUGCCAUUGGUAGCUCUCCUUUUGUCAUGUUUGUGUCUGAAAUAUAAACAAUGAUUAUUUUACAUCAAUUUUACCAAAUUUAAAUAAAAAAAAAUCAUUUUAUUUUCAACAAUUUUAAUUGCAAUGCUUGAAUUUUACUGAAUCAAUUUAUUCUGUUUUUCUCUGUAAAUUGCAAGACAUUAUU
rnacentral:lncRNA from 1 species